GAUGAACGCUGGCGGCGUGCCUAAUACAUGCAAGUCGAGCGAACGGACGAGAAGCUUUCUUCUCUGACGUUAGCGGCGGACGGGUGAGUAACACGUGGAUAACCCACCUAUAAGACUGGGAUAACUUCGGGAAACCGGAGCUAAUACCGGAUAAUAUUUUGAACCGCAUGGUUCAAAAGUUAAAGACGGUUUUGCUGUCACUUUUAGAUGGUGCCGUGCUGCAUUAGCUAGUUGGUAAGGUAACGGCUUACCAAGGCAACGAUGCAUAGCCGACCUGAGAGGGUGAUCGGCCACACUGGAACUGAGACACGGUCCAGACUCCUACGGGAGGCAGCAGUAGGGAAUCUUCCGCAAUGGGCGAAAGCCUGACGGAGCAACGCCGCGUGAGUGAUGAAGGUCUUCGGAUCGUAAAACUCUGUUAUUAGGGAAGAACAUAUGUGUAAGUAACUGUGCACAUCUUGACGGUACCUAAUCAGAAAGCCACGGCUAACUACGUG
rnacentral:rRNA from 1 species